rnacentral:rRNA from 1 species
GCUUGUCUCAAAGAUUAAGCCAUGCAUGUCUAAGUAUAAACAAAUCUAUACGUGAAACUGCGAAUGGCUCAUUAUAUCAGUUAUAGUUUAUUUGAUGGUUCAUACUACUUGGAUAACCGUAGUAAUUCUAGAGCUAAUACAUGCGUCAAAACCCGACUCCUGGGAGGGUUGUAUUUAUUAGAUGGAAACCAAUGCGGGGCAACCCGGUAUAUGGUGAUUCAUAAUAACUUUCGGAUCGAUCUUCGGAUCGAUGCAUCAUUCAAGUUUCUGCCCUAUCAGCUUUGGAUGGUAGGGUAUUGGCCUACCAUGGUGACCACGGGUAACGGGGGAUUAGGGUUCGAUUCCGGAGAGGGCGCCUGAGAAAUGGCGACCACUUCUAAGGAAGGCAGCAGG